CCUACGGGAGGCAGCAGUGGGGAAUAUUGGGCAAUGGGCGCAAGCCUGACCCAGCAACGCCGCGUGAGGGAAGAAGGCUUUCGGGUUGUAAACCUCUUUUGUCAGGGAGCAACGCCGGCUACGUGUAGCCGGACUGAGCGUACCUGAAGAAAAAGCAUCGGCGAACUCCGUGCCAGCAGCCGCGGUAAUACGGAGGAUGCGAGCGUUAUCCGGAUUUAUUGGGUUAAAAGGGUGCGUAGGCGGAAUGCCAAGUCAGCGGUAAAAUCGCGGGGCUCAACCUCGCUCCGCCGUUGAAACUGGCGUGCUUGAGUGGGCGCGAAGUAUGCGGAAUGCGUGGGGUAGCGGUGAAAUGCAGAGAUAUCAAGGAGAACUACGAUUGCGAAGGCAGCAUACCGGCGCCCAACUGACGCUGAAGCACGAAAGCGUGGGUAUCGAACAGGAAUAGGUACCCUUGUAGUC
rnacentral:rRNA from 1 species